rnacentral:misc_RNA from 1 species
GAUGAAGAACGUAGCGAAAUGCGAUAAGUAAUGCGAAUUGCAGAAUUCAGUGAGUCAUCGAAUCUUUGAACGCACAUUGCGCCCGGUGGUAUUCCGCAGGGCAUGCCUGUUCGAGCGUCAUUUCACCACUCAAGCCUGGCUUGGUGUUGGGCGACGUCCUCUUUGGGGACGCGCCUCGAAACGCUCGGCGGCGUGGCACCGGCUUUAAGCGUAGCAGAAUCUUUCGCUUUGGAAGUCGGGGCCCCGUCUGCCGGAAGACCUGCUCGCAAGGUUGACCUCGGAUCAGGCAGGGAUACCCGCUGAACUUAAGCAUAUCAAUAAGCGGAGGA